ACUGAAGACAAUGCAGAGAAAAGAAUGAAGCAACCUGGAACACUAACCCUGGCUCCUCGGGAGGGGAUCUGUCUCCACACACACAACGUAAGCCUGAAGAGCAUCUGCUCCCCGGAGAAAUGAAGGACCAGGCCAGAAGCACUAGCCCCAAGCAAAACCCGGUUACUGUGAACUGCAAAGACUGCGGGACUUUUACUCUGAAAGCGACUUCUUCCAGAGUGGGACGACAGACCCCCUGGAGCACCCGCCGUACUGGAGAGAGAUUAGGGAGAAGUCACUGGGGAGGGCUCAUUCUGUAAGACUUACCUAUCAAUGGAACCAAACGAAACAGAGCAACUACACUUCAGAGUUCUGCGUCACCACAGUGACUGCUGGAAAGACACCACACCCAAACCCAAAUCCAAGGAGGUUUCCUGGACCAUUUCCUUUUGUCUGGUUCUCUGUUUCAGGGGUCGGGGAUCAAGGCACCAAAAGAAGGUUGGACCUCAAAUAUCAUGCUGAGUAGGUUGAAGAAGGGUAUAAACUCUGAAAUAGAAGGAGCAGCACUGCAGAAAACAAGCAGGAGCAGCUAUCUUACUUUCAGACUCAACAGACUUCAAGCUAACGCUCACGAAGGAGACAAUGACGGCCGCUACAUACCGAUACCUACCGAGAAACUAAUCGUGUAAAGCACUGGAGCGGAUGCUGCACAGAAAAUCAAAAUGAAAGCGUCAUCUGUGCCCUCCAGGCAAAGCUGACUCAGGUAAACCUCCCAGUUAGAAAGUACAGGGGCUCAGGGGUGAACUGCCCCGUUAGGAGACGUAACGGCCUUGCGGUGGGAGAGGACGACAGAAGACGGAGGUGAGCCUCCAGGACGCUUGACUAUCACCAGGGAAGGGCUCUUCUGGGUGAGACAGCCUCUGUUUUGAAUUGCCCAAAAUCUUAGGGCCCAUCAGUUGAA